GAAAUGCGAUAGUAAUGUGAAUUGCCGAAUUCAGUGAAUCAUCGAAUCUUUGAACGCACCUUGCGCUCCUUGGUAUUCCUUGGAGCAUGCCUGUUUGAGUAUCAUGAAAUCUUCAAAGUAAAUCUUUUGUUAACUCAAUUGGUUUCUACUUUGGUAUUGGAGGUCUUUGCAGCUUCACACCUGCUCCUCUUUGUUCAUUAGCUGGAUCUCAGUGUUAUGCUUGGUUCCACUCGGCGUGAUAAGUUAUCUAUCGCUGAGGACACUGUAAAAGGUGGCCAAGGUAAAUGCAGAUGAACCGCUUCUAAUAGUCCAUUGACUUGGACAAUACUUUUAUGAUCUGAUCUCAAAUCAGGUAGGACUACCCGCUGAACUUAAGC
rnacentral:misc_RNA from 1 species